AGUGAUGAUGCUCCUUGUUUGUUGUGUGGGUGUCUAUUUUUGUCAAAAUUAGGUUGACGGUUGGACAAGAUGAUCUUUAAGGUCCCUUCCAACCUAGAAGAUUCUGUGAUUCUGUGAAAAGGCACAGGCAACAGCCCUGUUACAGCACAUCUGGUAAGGAAUAUCCCACACCUCUCCAUGCUGAAGACAGAAGCACAGUCAGUGGACUUCUGCCAGGAGGUAAAACCAGUGCCUUCAUCCUUCUCCACGCUCCGCUUGCCUGAGACACUGCCCGGGGGGAGACAAGCAGCCCACUGCAGAUGCUGAAAGGUAAAAGCCACACUCCUGCAAUGUCAUAAGUGCCAUUCGGAUGUCUUGACAGAAAUGAAAGAGUACUUCAGGGCAGAAGCAACAGCUCUACAGGUUCUGGAAGAGCAGCCCUAUCAGUUACACAUCAGAUGUGUGCAGUCCUGUGUCCUUUUUCAGAUACGUCUGAAACCAGGAGCCUAGACAACUUGAAAAAACAGCCUACAAUCUCAUUCUGAAUGUUUAGGUACAAGAGCAAUAUUUCCCAGCUCCCAGGUAAGACUGUGCUCAUCUCAACAUUGUCUCCCCUUCCCCUGGAGUCUAGAUCCUGUCCACCCUGGUAGCCCAGCACCAGUGCUGCUCUGGCAGUCAGAGCUUGCCAUCGGUGUCAAACAGCCCUUUCACUCAUGAAAAAUCUACUCUUCAGGCUAGGUUUGCUCACCUACUAACUUGGUUAAUCCCCACCCCUGCUUAGAGGAGUUGCCUUCACAGUACAUCAGUGGAAGGCGUUUUGCUAACGAGCAAGACACCUUUUCCAGAUUAAGCAAAAAUUUCUCCCCACAGCUUUCCUUUCCCAGCUGCAGACACCCAGGCAGAAGAGGCAGCUGCUUAAUCAGCCCAAGGUCUCCUCCAUGGAGUAAUCUACACAGGAAUCUCUGGCCAUUUAUCUGUAAUUCUUUUUGUCCUUUUCUGGUUCCUCCUUCCCCUUAUUUUUCCCAGGUCCAAAUGUUUCUCACAUAGCAGGGUUCUUCCUGCUUUUCCUCUUAACCUGUUGUAACCAUUAAUAGGGCAGUGAACCGCACAGUGGUCUCAAGGGGAAUAUUCAGUUCACACAGAUUGAUGAUGCUUUGCCAAAAGGUAUGAGCAGGCAGUUGCUGAGGUUAUUAUGAUAGCCACAUUCACAUGUGCUGUGGCACUGUAAAGACCCCACUUGGGACUUCUCCUGGGGCUUAGGAAAAGAAAAAAACCCAACACCUCAAUCAUUAAAACCAAAAGGUCUGAGUAAGAGCAGAAUUGUUCACAAGGAACAGCAGUUGAGAGUGCUGCAUUCAGGCACUGCCAUCACCAACAAAAGACAGCAGCAAGGCUUUGAAUGCACAGAUGUGUAGCUUGGAGCAUCAGUGCUAAAGCAGGAAAAUAAAGGGGAGCAGAGGGACCUCAGGGAGGAGGCCCAUGGAGGGGUGGGACAGAGGGUACUAGGCAGCCAGAGCAGGUCAAAACCCUGUCCCAGAGGCUGAUGGUGGCCUCCUAGUAAACAAGCUGUGUGUUAUCACUUUGCUGAGUGACACGUCACUUAACAUUUUUGCUUGUAACUUAGUUCCAAUACUUGAAGUCUUGGAGAAGUACUUUAAGAUCGUUUUUGUUUUGAAGGUGAGAGUUAUGAGAAGCACUUGAUUCUGAAUAUCCAUGUCUCUCCUCUCAACCAAGACAUCGUAGCAUAUUGAAAUUCCUAACUGACUUUUUCUUGUACAUUUCACUUCAGGCAUUAUGUUCUCUCGAUGAGUAAUAGUGAAAAAUGACCCCUGACUCAGAAAUCAUUCUGGUAACUCUGAUAACAGUGAAACAACAAAUUUCAAGGAUCAUCGGCCUCUCCAAACGUUCAUUUUGCUAACAGACAGAACAGCAAAGUAAUCAUCAUUAGAACAGUAAUUUUGUUUCAGCAACCCUUAAACUCCUGCUGUGCCACUGUAUUGCCAGUCUCUGUUCUGAGUUGAUGGAAGGAGACGGUGAUUCUAUUAACUAAAUUUCAGAAUAAUUGAAGAAGGUCUUUUAAGAUACAAACUUUGCUUUGAUACAGGAAUUUCAAAGGUGAAUGGAAGCUUCAAAGGAGGCACUGGGAAUGCAAGGAUAGCAGGAAUGUGUUCGUACUGCUCACCAAGCCUUCCAGGACGCUCUCUACAAGUGAUUCAUCCACUGAUCACAGAACUGCAGAGUGACAUGGGGUUGGAAGGGACCCUUGGAGAUCAUCUAGUCCAACCCCCUGCUAGUUUAUGAGAACUGUUUACAGGAUUUGCUCCCAUUUCCUGAGAGGUUGUUCUGUAUUAGAAUGAUAAUGAAUGAUACUCUAGAUCAGUGACAUAGAGGGAAGCUUUCUUACUGCUGAAGCCAAGGGAAGUUGUUCCAUUGACCUUUCAGUGCCAGGAUUUCACUCUAAGAAUUAAAUUGAAACUGAAUAUGGAUGUAGAGGCUUGGGGGAUGGCUUUUAGGAUUAUUUCUUACAAAAUCCUAUGUGCCUAGAAUCUCCUCUCCAUGCGAAUAGCUGGGUAAACAGUGUGCUUUGUGCCAGCAAGUAUUUUUCAGUGCAUUGUCUCUAGUUUUCAGUGCUUUGUGCUCUAGGAUGUGUGGUGUUAUGUAUCCUACCAUUGAUUAAAAAAACUAUAUACCAUAGAAGUGUUCUUCAUGUGUGUCCACAUCCACUUUAGGAAACGCUUAGGUUUUUCAGCUCUCAGUAUGGCACCAAAGAUAUUUGUCUUAUGAGUUGAGAUGUUGGCAGUAGGAGUUGUGGAUGUGCUACUUAAAAUAUUUUUAAACUUUUACAAAGAAGAUUACAUAAAAGAUACUGCAGGAGAUUAGAAGAACUUUUUUCUGAAAUAGUUUUGAGCCAGUAAUUGAUGGGGAGUUUGCUUCCAUAGCUCUCUUUUUGUGUUUUAGAGUUCAAAAGGAUAUUGUGUCAUUUCUUCAGCAGCUGUUGCAAGCAACUAAAUAGUUUGUUUAAAUAUUUUGUGUAGUUAAGCAAAUAAAUUUUGAACAGAUAGUUUCCAUUAGCAAACUGAUUAGAAUAUCAAACAUGCAUCCUAUUUCCAGGAGUUCCAACUGUUAAAAAUAUGCUUAAACUUUCAAAAUACUGGUUUUAUUUUAUUAUAGAUGAGGUUUCUUUAAAUAAAUACAGUAAGCCUGAAGAUUUGGUGCUGAGGUGCGAAUCUGUCCUUGAGAAAGGAGUCAUUUCUUUGUGCUAAUGCUGAAAGGAAAAUGAGAAGGUUCCCUUCUCUUUUUCCCUUGUUUCAUUGGAUAAUUUCUGUUUCAUUGCAGCUGUGCACGUCGCAGCUGUGGUAUUCCAGCACAUCCCAACUCACAGUUUAGUCUGCAAAGAUGAAAAUGAAGCCUUGGCUGUGAGUGGCAUCCUGUUGUGGCCCUGCUGGCAGAGCGAGCCCAGAGUGGGGUGACCAGAAACCACAACAUACAGGAGGACAUCGCGCACAACCAGCUGAUGAACCAACUGGAACAAGAAGUCACAUUACAGUUACUUUCCUGUGUCCCCCCUUGCUUUUUGUGGUUACCUUAAAUGGCAAAAUGACUUUCUGGCAUUUAGUGGGUUAUUGCAAAUUUAAUUGAGGAUGGUUUAGCGUGUUGAAAAAUUAAUGCCUUCAUGUUUGAAAUCUAGGCACUGGAUUUUUUUCAUAAAAUUAAAACAUCAAGAAGAGUGUUCACUUAAUGCAUUAUAGAGCAAUGUCUAGACUAGUCUAAAAAGUGAAAAAGAACCCUAUGCAACCCCCUGAAAAACUUGGAUUCUCUUCCAAGUUUAAUAUGGACACUCUGCAAAGCUGUUUUACUGAAGUAUAUUCUGCUUAUCUUGAGAUACACAAUAACAUCAUGUCUUAGCACAAGGGAGGGAAAGGAGAGGAGACAUUUAUUUUCUUGACCAUCGCCUGAGAUUUUAGAGAUGAGGUGUCUUAGCAUUGGACAGUUGAUGAAAUUUGGAAAGAGAAAAGAGUGAGGGAGGAUGCUCAGUGCAUUAAUAUAAAGUAUAAGGAGAACAUACUGACAACAUUAGCAAAUAAAUCACACACAGAUGUAGAAUUCAAGUUUCUGAAUCUGCUCAUUAAAUAUUUACAAUUCACACUCUCAAAAUUGGAAAAUAUGUUGACAUCUCAAUUUAUCUUUUUCAACAAACUGUCAUACCUGGCACGGUAUGAAAUUGGUAACAAAGAAUAAACUGGUCUGAAAAGUCAA